rnacentral:rRNA from 1 species
GAUGAACGCUGGCGGCGUGCCUAAUACAUGCAAGUCGAGCGAACAGACGAGGAGCUUGCUCCUCUGACGUUAGCGGCGGACGGGUGAGUAACACGUGGAUAACCUACCUAUAAGACUGGGAUAACUUCGGGAAACCGGAGCUAAUACCGGAUAAUAUAUUGAACCGCAUGGUUCAAUAGUGAAAGACGGUUUUGCUGGCACUUAUAGAUGGAUCCGCGCCGCAUUAGCUAGUUGGGAAGGUAACGGCUUACCAAGGCAACGAUGCGUAGCCGACCUGAGAGGGUGAUCGGCCACACUGGAACUGAGACACGGUCCAGACUCCUACGGGAGGCAGCAGUAGGGAAUCUUCCGCAAUGGGCGAAAGCUUGACGGAGCAACGCCGCGUGAGUGAUGAAGGUCUUCGGAUCGUAAAACUCUGUUAUUAGGGAAGAACAAAUGUGUAAGUAACUAUGCACGUCUUGACGGUACCUAAUCAGAAAGCCACGGCUAACUACGUG